AGUGAACGCUGGCGGCAGGCCUAAUACAUGCAAGUCGAACGGCAACACAGUGGAGGUUGCUCCAUGGGUGGCGAGUGGCGGACGGGUGAGGAAUACAUGGGAAUCUGCCCAGUCGUGGGGGAUAACAUAGGGAAACUUACGCUAAUACCGCAUGCGCCCUCCGGGGGAAAGACGGGGACCUUCUGGCCUGGCGCGAUUGUAUGAGCCCAUGUUCGAUUAGCUAGUUGGCGGGGUAAAGGCCCACCAAGGCGACGAUCUAUAGCUGGUCUGAGAGGAUGAUCAGCCACACUGGAACUGAGACACGGCCCAGACUCCUACGGGAGGUAGCAGUAGGGAAUAUUGGACAAUGGGCGCAAGCCUGAUCCAGCCAUGCCGCGUGAGUGAAGAAGGCCCUCGGGUUGUAAAGCUCUUUUGUCGGGAAAGAAAAGCAUCGGGCUAAUACCUCGGUGUUCUGACGGUACCGGAAGAAUAAGCACCGGCUAACUUCGUG
rnacentral:rRNA from 1 species